rnacentral:misc_RNA from 1 species
GAAGAAGAAGACCUCAGCAUCUGCUAAGAAGGAAGAGGAAGGUGAUGCUGCCACUGAGGAGGUAAAGAAAAGUAACCACGUCCAGCGCAAAAUUGAGAAACGUCAGCAGGACCGCAAGCUUGACCCGCAUAUUGAAGAACAAUUCAGCAGCGGUCGUUUGAUGGCUUGUAUCUCAUCAAGGCCGGGUCAAUGUGGCCGAGCAGAUGGGUAUAUCUUGGAGGGCAAA